GACGGAGGAUGCAAGCGUUAUCCGGAAUGAUUGGGCGUAAAGCGUUCGCAGGUGGCUGUUCAAGUCUGCUGUCAAAGACCGGGGCUUAAACCUAGAAAGGCAGUGGAAACUGAACGGCUGGAGUGCAGUAGGGGUAGAGGGAAUUCCCAGUGCAGCGGUGAAAUGCGUAGAGAUUGGGAAUAACACCGGUGGCGAAAGCGCUCUGCUGGACUGCAACUGACACUGAGUGACGAAAGCUAGUGGAGCGAAAGGG
rnacentral:rRNA from 1 species